AUGCACAGAGAUAGUCCCACUCUCUCGGCAUUGGAAGCCUGGGUCCAGUGGCAUGAAAAAUCGUUACACCUGGAGACUUCCUCAGCUGCAUUGGAUGGCCAUGUUGUCCUUUGUGCUCCAACACGCCCUAAGCACUCCACAGUGCUUUGCUGCGUCGCCCUCUCAGCCGUUGAACCUUCUUAUUGGUUUCUUCCGUCUGUUCAGCCGAAGCAGUCUUCACAUGCUGGAUCGGAGCACCCAUUGAUCUCCGGUCUGGAUUCUGGGCUGUCUUCAUCUCCGAGUCCUCGGCCUCCAUGCUCUGGGAACAGCUGCUUUUUUCAGAUGUUCACUGGAGUUGUUUUAACACAGGCUAAAUUGAAACAGAGAACUUGUGCGAGGCUUCUUCUUCUUUUUUGUAUUUCCUCUGGCUAGCAUGCAAGUCAAGUAAACAGCAGCAGGCUGCAGGAAGUCAGUCUAGCCGCAGCAAAUCUGUAGUUGUUUUUGUGAGAGAAGAUGGGAAGAAUGAAUAUUUGCCCCAUGGCAUCAAUUUCCUGUUUAAGGUUCUUUCUCCAAGCGCAAGUUGGAAAUGUCUCCAGAAACCCAGAUGUUACGUAAACACCAUACAGAACUGGUUUUCGGGGAUGGAAAGAAAAGUCUAACAUUUUAAGGAAGCUCACUCAGGCUCACCUCAGAUCCCCACCAUGACUCAGUCACUCUACCUUUCAUUGAACCAUUUGGGAGAGCAGGUUAUCCCAGGGGUUAGCAACGGGCUGAUGAGCAAGGUAGAAACAACCCAGUCUUUUGCCCAUGAACCUCCAUCCACAAGCUUGCAGGUGGUUGCUGCUGAUGGCCUCCUCAUCCCUUGCAAUUCAAUUCUAGAUCAUCAUUGGCAUUUCUGUAGUCUUUUAGGUUUGCAAAGAGCACCAGAUAUAUGUAGAUGAUGUGCAUUAUACAUAUACAAUAAACAUGUGGUUAUUCAGUCA
rnacentral:lncRNA from 1 species